UACGGGGGGGGCAAGCGUUGUUCGGAAUUACUGGGCGUAAAGGGCUCGUAGGCGGCCAACUAAGUCGGACGUGAAAUCCCUCGGCUUAACCGGGGAACUGCGUCCGAUACUGGAUGGCUUGAGUUUGGGAGAGGGAUGCGGAAUUCCAGGUGUAGCGGUGAAAUGCGUAGAUAUCGGGAGGAACACCAGUGGCGAAGGCGACUUCCUGGCCUGUUCUUGACGCUGAGGCGCGAAAGCUAGGGUAGCAAACGGG
rnacentral:rRNA from 1 species